ACUGGGUGGUGUGUGCGUUUGUCGCAGUACUACUUAUUAAUUGCAGCCUCAUUAAAGCCCGGUUUAAUUUUGAGAAUGAAUUAUUAUUUUAAAAGUGUGUAUUUUUUCGGUGAAAAAUAAGGCAGGAAACAACUUUAAGGUUUAUAAACGUCGUGUUUUCCAUUAAGAAAUGACUUAUAAUUUGCUUACGACAGACUUGUUUGUGGCAAAAUUGUAAAUAAGUGGGGAACAAAUAAAUAUUUCAUUAAUAGUUUCAAUGUGUUUAACAGUGCAUGAAUAAUCUUCCUUAUCUGCCAGCUGCAUGUCAAACUCCCUAUGAAGCGACGCCCACUCAGUGGUGUGUCCAUCUGCGCCAAGCGAAUGCUGACUCGAGCUUCGGUGUUCUGUGCGAAGGAUGCGAUCAAGGGGUUGCAGACACUGAAAUUAAAAACUGACUGUGCUAACAUUUCGGAUUAGACAGCAAGCAUAGCGACUCCUGAAACAUAGAGAAGCACCUGAAACCUCCAGAAACACCAGCAAUCUAUUGCUUGGGAAGAGAGAAGACUCCAUGAGCGCCGGGAGGAGCAGGCCGGGACUGAAGAGGAGAGCGGCGAAAUGCUCGGUGCUGUGAAGGCUACUGGCUACGGUGCUUUUGCUAACGGCAGACACGAUGAAGAUGUGGAGUUCGGAGCAUAUAUUUAGUUACCCAUGGGAGACUGUGAUCAAUGCUGCUAUGAAGAAGUACCCCAACCCAAUGAAUCCCAGUGUGUUUGGAGUUGAUGUGCUUGAUAGAAAACUUGACACUCGAGGAAGGCUUCAUAGCCAUCGUCUUCUCAGUACUGAGUGGGGGCUGCCUAGUAUUGUUAAAGCGAUAUUGGGAACCAGCCGAACUGUUACCUAUAUUAAAGAGCACUCCAUUGUAGAUCCAGUUGAAAAGAAAAUGGAACUCUGUUCAACCAAUCUAAGCCUAACUAAUUUUGUGUCGGUCGAUGAAAGAUUGGUGUACAUACCACAUCCAGAAAACCCAGAUGUAACAGUCCUUACACAAGAAGCAGUAAUCACAGUUAAGGGUGUUGGUCUAAGUAGCUACCUGGAAGGAUUAAUGGCUCACACCAUAUCAACUAAUGCUAGAAAGGGGUGGGAUGCUAUUGAAUGGAUCAUUCAAAAUUCUGAAAGUGCUAUUAGCUAACAGCGUUUCCUUCUAUCAAGUAUACUAUUAUCAGUGUUAAAAGUUUACAGAGUCAGAGCUAUGAGCUGUGUACAUCAAUGCCAUGGCCACUGGUAGAGAAAAUUUUAAGUCAUCUUCUUAGUGCCCAUGUCAUCACCCGCUAUGAGUUUGAUAUAAUCCAGUCUAAAACAGUGACCUUCCAGAAGACAUCGGAACUCUUGACUACUAUCACCCGAAAAGGACAAAACGCAUGUAUGAUCUUCUAUAAAGUCCUACAAGAUUAUGAUCCAUCCCUAAAUGCACAGCUUACAGGAAAACAAGUCCAACCUUUUAAUUUCAAAAAGGAAGAUGAUUUUGUACCAGCACCAGUGACUGGUGGAAAUACUGUUAAUUAUUCAAUCAAUAUUUAUAAUUCUCAUCUAAAUGGAUGCAUUUUUGGAAACUAUAGUACUCUUUCAAUUAUGAAGCAAGAAGCAGACGAUACUAAGGACCAAAGCCUUCCAGCAAAACAAUAUGCCGCUCAUCCUCAAGCAUACAGAAGCAGCAGUCAGGCAUUAAAGCCGCCGCCGCCACCGCCACCGCCACCACCACCACCACAAACAGACAUAAAAAUAAUUGACUCUCGUGCAGAGUUUGUAAUUAUUGGGGAUAACAGUACAAUGGAAAUAAAAGAAACUACAGUAGAAGAGGACACAGAUGAUGAACAGACAGAACCUGAAGAGACUGAAGAAGACUGAAAUUGAAUUUUCAAAGCCAUACCUGGUCUCUUCGUAAUCAAACUGCCAAAGGCUUGUUGUGGGCCAGUAGCUGAAGGAAUCAUACCUGCAUGGAUCAUCAUGUCAAUCCAGGCAGCAUGUGAUGGAACAUUCUGUACCUCCAUUAUACUACUCAUUUUUUUAAGGCUGGAUUGAUACAUUGUUAAUUCAGUUUUAAGUACGUCAUGUAGAAGGUUAAUGGAAUGUGACAAUGAAUUCAGGUUUACAAAUAACAGUCACCAUUUUCCAUAAAAUGCUUCACUGAACAUGUGGAAAGUGAAGUGGCAAUGCCUGCAGUACAUUAUGUUGGUGUAAAUUAUUGUGAUGUCUCUACCACAAAUUGAGCAAAAUUCUGGGAACGGAAUCUCUCAACUAGAUAAGAUCAGUCUGGCUCAGAUCACUAUCUUUUUUGACAAGAAUAUCUGUUUUUGUGCUUCGUUCAACUCCUUUGGUAAUUUUCAGAGUUAGCACUUUUGACAUCUUACCUAUCCCAACUUGUAAAUGUUCUUUCAGCAUUUUGAGAGAAAUGCAAAGUUACUUUUGAUGUUCCAAUUUGAUCUGCACAAAAGGCAAUGAAAGAUUGCUUAUUUUAUCUUACUUUAAGACAGCUAAACUAAACACAUUAAAAUACAAAGCAAACUUAAAAUGUAAUUUUUCGCAUUUUUUAAGCAUAUUAUUAUUGAGAUGAGAAAAAGAUUGCUUAUUUUAUCUUACUUUAAGACAGCUAAACUAAACACAUUAAAAUACAAAGCAAACUUAAUGUAAUUUUUCGCAUUUUUUAAGCAUUUUAUUAUUGAGAUGAGAGGUCAAUAUUUCAUAACAACUGGACUAAUUUGGGUUGCAUUGUUUUCUGUAAAUUGCCUCAGUGGGAGCUACCACAAUACAGGGCGUUCACUUGAAAUCUCCCACUGAGAAGCUUAUUUCUCUAUAUGUCCCAUGGUACAUACUGUACAUAUGAUAAUAAGCUGUAUCUAUUUUAUUGGGGUAUUUAUCCACAAAUAUUCAAUGAGAUGCAAAAGCUAAGAUUUUUAUGCAGAAAAAAAGGUCUCAUAAAGCUCUUGAAGCUAUUGCAGUAUGGGGUUUGUGCAUUUUUGUGUUUGUUUUUCAUGUCUAGUGUAUCUGUUUAUUGUCAUUCAAGUGAUAUUUAUUAUUACUAAUUGUAAUGUAUAAAACUAAGCAUUUUACAAUAAAAAUAGAACCUUUUGAAACUU